CUCUCAGCUGCAAACACAGUAUUUGUGUUAUUUUUGUUCUAAUUCUCACUUCACUCCUAUUAAGGAACAAUUUCAGCACAUUCACUUCACAUUGCUGCCAAUUUUCGUGGCAUUUUAAAGAAACAACAAACAGGUGCAGACCUUGCGGGAGUCAGAGUAGUUGGCUCGUGGCUUAAAUUGGUUUCAUGGAGUUCUCCAUAUUUUUGGGAAUUCUGCUGGUGGUCUCAGGGACUUGGAGAGUCAUCCUUCCUCCCCGUGGGGAGCCUCUCCUGUGCAGGGCUGGGCUUCCACUGUGCUCAGCAUCGCUGCCUUUGGGCUGCUGCUGGGUGGGUGAGAAAUGAUUUCCUGAGGGUGGGUUUGUAGUGAGCAGCCAAAGGGACUUGGCCACCCCCAUCCUGUGUCAGGGGUGCAUUGCAUCAGGAAAGUCUCAUUCCAGGCCAGCUGGGGUCCUGUGUCCUCUGCUCCUUUCUCUUCCCUUUGGGACAUUCUCAGUUUCUUCCUUGUGAUCAUUCUCACCCUCUUUUCCAGGAGGUUUUCCCAUUGGGAAGAGAUGCUUCAGUCUGGGAAUGCUGGAAUCAGGAGGAUUUGGGGUCAGGAGAGGCUGGGUUUGGGAGAUGCUGGUGUCAGGAGGUGCUGGUGUCAGGAGAUGCUCAGACUGGGAGGUGCUGGUUUCAGGAGGUGCUGGUUUCAGGAGGUGCUGGUGUCAGGAGAUGCUCAGACUGGGAGGUGCUGGUGUCAGGAGGUGCUGGUGUCAGGAGGUGCUGGUGUCAGGAGGUGCUGGUGUCAGGAGGUGCUGGUGUCAGGAGGCGCUGGUUUCAGGAGGUGCUCAGACUGGGAGGUGCUGGUGUCAGGAGG
rnacentral:lncRNA from 1 species